rnacentral:misc_RNA from 1 species
AUGUACAAUUAUUCUAACACAUCAUACAUACAUUGCCCAGUUUGUCCAAGUUAACAAUUCCAUUCCUGAGCAAAUUCUUCGCAGUCAGCAGCAAUAACUGUUCAUUGAAAUCAAUCAAUUUUAACGCGUCACAUUUCCACCCAAAAAAUUUACAGCUGUAUUGGUAUAUCACAGAUCAACACCCUCAUCAAGCCCUUUAGAACUAAUUAUCACAUUUG